UCCAGAGCCAACACAGUUCUCUGAUAGUAGCCUUCAUUUCCUCAUCUGGAACCCAGGAUCCCUUUUGGGCUUGGCAUGAAGCCUGAACAAGAUAUCAAUUCAAAUGAGGGCUGCCACCCUGACAAGGCCCUUGGAUAAAAGGCCAGCACACCUGUGUCCUGCUUCUUCCUCUCCAACCUGGAUCAUGCUCCGGCUCCUUCCUGCCCUGGUGCUCCUGGGGGUGCUGGUCACUCCAGAAGGGACCUCCAAGACCUGUCCAGCCUGUGCUUCGCCAGGUCACUGCAGGGACAUCCUCUGUCCUUCAGCCCAGGACUCCUGCCUGCUCAGCCAGAUGCAGCUGGAAAAUGGGACUGUGGUGGACAGCGGAUCAUGUGUGGCCCCUGGGCGGUGCCGGGAAAGCAUCACCACCCUGACCUACGGCCCCAACUCCACGCUCUGGGUCAGCACCGCCUGCUGUGCAAACAGCUGCAGCAUCACUGGGCCACCACAAGAGCCAGGCCCCGAGGCCAACCAUGUGACAUGUCAAUACUGUUCUGGGAAUAAGUCGGCCCCAUGUGACUCCCUUUCGGUCAUGAACUGCACGGGGAACCAGACCAAGUGUGUCACCCUCAACGGGACAUGGAGUGGAGGGAACCCCCAAAUCCUGAAGGGCUGUGCUACACCAGACGUCUGCCACCUGCGAGUGAAUGACACCCUGGGCCCAGAGGCAUCUGGAUUCCGCCUCACCUCACAGCCUGGUUGCAACCCUUCUCCCACACAACCAGGCGCUCUUCUGGAAGGUCCCCAUGCAGCUGUGACCCACACCAGCCCAAAGCCCACCAUCUGUUUCACCUGCUCGGACCUCCAGCACUGCGACCCUCUCCCCUGUCCAGAGGACAGAAACUACUGCCUUCAGACAGCAGGCAUCACCGCCUUUGGGGAUGGGAAUUCCUUCUCCUGGAGAAAUGGUUCCUGCGUGGCCUCUACGGACUGCACAUUGAGCAACUCCAUCUCUGGCUUGACCUAUGGCAUCGGCCUUGGCUUCUGGGUCAACACCACCUGUUGCCAAGGCAACUGCCAGGAGCCCACCCGGCUUGCAACUCUGCCGGCCUCACGCACCUUGACCAAGUUCCUGUGUCCUACGUGCCCCAAGGACCAGUCUGGCUCCUGCCGCUCCUCCUUCUACCUUCAGUGUCCCCGUGGGGAGACCCAGUGUGUCCAGCUGGACCUGACAUUGGAUGAAGGCGGCCAGAACGUGAGCAUGCGCGGCUGCGGCUCCCGAGACCUGUGCAGCUCCCGGGCAGUGACCGAGAAGCUCCGGACUCUUUCGGACCUUUCUGGUCUCCGCCGCCUCCGGCUGUCCCGCCGGCCUAACUGCAACCCCAGCCGCCGCGCUGUCCUGGAGAACCAGUGCCUCUCCAGCGCCGCGGGCGGCCUCCGCCUGGCCCUGCCCCUGCUGGCGGUGGCCCUGGGGGCAGCAAGGCUCUGCUGAGAAUGCCAAGCCCAGACGGAUCCCCCCACCCCACCCCCAGGGCGCGCCUGGGGCCUGGAAACUUCUAUCCACGAAGUCAGGAACCAGGGGUGAGCCUGCUCUCUCAGACUCUGCUUCCCAAAGGCCAAGCCUCAGACUAAGCUUCCCCAAGGCUAUGCCCUCUUCCUCGUAGCAAGGUCCCCAAAAGCUGGACCGCCUGCAUCGGCGCAGAAUCCCCUGCUGUCUUCCCCCCUUUCUAAGGCCACCGGCUCACUCCACGCUGAGGCCAGGCUUCUUCCUGCUCCACUAAAGCUACCCUUGCGUCCUCAGAUAAGGGUACUCAAGGCCGAACCUCCUCACCCUACACCGUUCUGUUCUUCCCAAGAUUGAAAAUGCCCACAUUCGUCUUAAGAUCAGAGAGCCCCAAAAGCUAAGCCUACCUCCUCAAACGAGGGAACCCCCAACGUGAGACUAAGUUCUCUCCAACACUGGGGAAGCAAAAUCCCUCCCUCUUUCUGUUUUCCUCUUCCGGCAAAGUCCUAGAAACCAAGGUGAGGCUGGAGGACCCAAUACACCCACUCCCGAGGCUUUUAGAGCAGCCCAUUCCAGUCUUGACUGGGCCAGGAUGGGCAGAUAGCUGGGUGGGGUGAGGAUCCCCCUCUUGUCGGGUUUUUUUCUCCCAGCAGCAACCAAAUUAAGUGAAU
rnacentral:lncRNA from 1 species